UAUAAUGAUAUCAAGCUCAUGUUAUCACAUGAGACAAAGCACCUGCAUCUAGCUACGCUAACAUUAGUAGCUGAGCAAAGCCUACUUAUCCAAUCAAGUUUUGCUAGGAAGGGAUAGUGUUUGUCUUUCAUGGCAUAACAGGAGGCAAAUAUUUCAGUGGUAGGCAGCGAGCAAUAUGACAUGGAAACGCAAACUAGCAUAACAGGUCUAGAGAUGGAAUCAAGGUCAUAUCAUCUUGCGUGUGAGAUCCUCAGCUUGGAAGGGUUCUUGUUCGUCCUGCACGUACUCUCCCGUAUCCACGUACUCGUUCUCCGAUCCUGGUGCUUCCCAACAAAAAAAAUAGCAUCCAAUGAACAACAGCACCUCAAGAUGCAACAAGCACAUGAUGCAUGAGAUGAAUAUGAGCAUGCAUCACUAUUUCUAUCACUAUCACAAGCAAAAGAAGCUAAUACAUGUUCCUGGACAGAACUGUAACUUAAGCUAUUCUGUCAUGCAUGAGAAUGACAUGAUCAGAUGCGUCUCGAGAAAACGAUGCAAAUGCAUAUAAAGAACUCUACAAACGGAGCUACGGAUCAACGGGAAUCAAAGAAACAAGAUAUGAAGACCUACGUAUCAAAAUCAUCACCACACACCCAAUUGGCACAACCC
rnacentral:lncRNA from 1 species